rnacentral:rRNA from 1 species
CCUACGGGUGGCAGCAGUGGGGGAUAUUGCACAAUGGGGGGAACCCUGAUCCAGCGACGCCGCGUGAGUGAAGAAGUAUUUCGGUAUGUAAAGCUCUGUCAGCAGGGAAGAAAGAAAUGACGGUACAUGACCAAGAAGCCCCGGCAAACUACGUGCCAGCAGCCGCGGUAAUACGGAGGAUGCGAGCGUUAUCCGGAUUUAUUGGGUUAAAAGGGGGCGCAGGCGGAUUUUAAAGUCAGCGGGAAAAUCGUGGGGCUCAACACCAUACUGCCGUUGAAACUGGGGAUCUAGAGUGUGCGAGAGGUAAGCGGAAUGCGUAGUGUAGCGGUGAAAUGCGUAGAUAUCACGCAGAACCCCAGUUGCGAAGGCAGCAUACCGGUGCACAACUGACGCUCAGGCACGAAAGCGUGGGUAUCGAACAGGAUUAGAUACCCCAGUAGUC